rnacentral:rRNA from 1 species
GAACGGGUGAGUAACGCGUGGGUAACCUGCCUCUGAAUCUGGAAUAACCCGCCGAAAGGCGGACUAAUACCGGAUAUUGUCCCGGAGUCGCAUGACACUGGGAUGAAAGAUGACCUCUUCACGAAAGUUGUCGUUCAGGGAGGGGCUCGCGUACCAUAAGCUAGUUGGUAGGGUAAUGGCCUACCAAGGCGACNAUGGUUAGCUGGUCUGAGAGGAUGAUCAGCCACACUGGAACUGAAACACGGUCCAGACUCCUACGGGAGGCAGCAGUGAGGAAUUUUGCGCAAUAGGGGAAACCCUGACGCAGCAACGCCGCGUGAGUGAAGAAGGCCUUCGGGUCGUAAAGCUCUGUC